rnacentral:rRNA from 1 species
AGUGAACGCUGGCGGUAGGCCUAACACAUGCAAGUCGAACGGCAGCACAGGAGAGCUUGCUCUCUGGGUGGCGAGUGGCGGACGGGUGAGGAAUACAUCGGAAUCUACUCUGUCGUGGGGGAUAACGUAGGGAAACUUACGCUAAUACCGCAUACGAGCUACGGGUGAAAGCAGGGGAUUCUCGGACCUUGCGCGAUUGAAUGAGCCGAUGUGGGAUUAGCUAGUUGGGGGGGUAAAGGCCCACCAAGGCGACGAUCCGUAGCUGGUCUGAGAGGAUGAUCAGCCACACUGGAACUGAGACACGGUCCAGACUCCUACGGGAGGCAGCAGUGGGGAAUAUUGGACAAUGGGCGCAAGCCUGAUCCAGCCAUACCGCGUGGGUGAAGAAGGCCUUCGGGUUGUAAAGCCCUUUUGUUGGGAAAGAAAUCCAGCUGGCUAAUACCCGGUUGGGAUGACGGUACCCAAAGAAUAAGCACCGGCUAACUUCGUGCCAGCAGCCGCCGUAA